UAUUCUGCCCCACGGGGAAGGAUGAGAAGCUUCGACUAAGGUUCGACUCGAGCGAAGCGAGAGAACGUUGCCGCAGGCAACGGCCCGAAGGCGAGGCGCUUUAGCGCCGAGUAAUCCUUCCCCCACCACUG
rnacentral:sRNA from 2 species